UACUUGCUAAUUGGAUCAUCUAAUCUAAUCACAUAUCAUAUAUGCAUGAAUUUAGAUCUAAUCUAAUUUAUAUCAGAUCUAAUUAUAAUUUUAGAUUACAUCUAUAUCAGAUCAUAAAUAUCAUAUAUAUGAUAUAAAAUCAGAUUUUAUCAAGGAUCAGCAUAAACUAAGAUAAUCUUUUCACUAUAAUGGGUAAAUCUUACAGCAGAAUAAUCUUAUAUCAGUUUGUGCGAUCCAUCAUUAAUUAAAUUUAAAUCUAAAUAUCAUAUAUCAGAUCUAAAUAAAAUUAAAUUUUAAAUUUAAUAUGUACAUAAAUCUUAUCAUAAUGAACCUAAGCUCUGAUGUCACUGUUGGUGAACAUAGGUGAUUUAUGUAUGUAUUUCAAAACCUUUUCAAAUAAAUUAUAGUGAAAGACUGUAGGAUCUUAUAGGGGUUUCAUGCAUGUAUUUCAAAAUUUUUUAACGAAAGAAUAUCAGAUUAAACUAUUUAAUCUAAAAAUAUAUACAUAAAAUUUGAUCUUAAAACUCCUACAAAUAAAUUUAUAAUAUAAAUUUAUAUACAUAAAAAUCUAAAUCUAAAAUUACAAGAAUUUGAAUAAGAACAGCAAUUAGUGAUAGAUCUAAUCUACCACUUCUAAGAUUUCAAACCCAAUACCUGAGC
rnacentral:lncRNA from 1 species